GUUGCCCGGGAAACACAGAUGGUGGAUGAAGGGCGCGCAUACAAAGGACCGUAAACCUGUAGCGGCAGCUGGAGACCGAGCCCACCGAUUAAUUCAGCUGUGUGCUGCUCCAGCUUAGUCAAAGGCGUCUCUGUUCUCUUUCAAUACCUACUUCAUUUUCUCUUUGCACUGCGCAGCUUUCGGCUCCACUUGAGCCUGUUUUCCGUGCACCGGUCUCCCGUCAGUGCGCAGCUGUUGUCGGCACUCCCACAUCUGCUUGUCUCGGUCUCGGCAGCCAUGUAGACGUGCACGUCCAAGGGGGCGACGGCCAGCACUUUUACUGCGGGCUAAUCACUGCUCACACACGGCGUGGAACCGGUUUACAGCGUCGGCAGCUUGUCCCGAGAAUGGAAGAAGGUAAAAGGAGGAAAAAGAGGAAGGAGAAGUGAUCUUUUUGCGCCGUUGGAUGCUCAGCAUGGCGCAUAUGUGGAACCUGGAAAUCUGGUAACCUCGCGUCGGUGUUUCCGGGUUCAUCUACAGCGCUGCGGACAUGUCGCCGGUCGGAUCCAGCAUCCAGAUGGGAAGCAGCAGCAGGACAGGUUAAGUGUACAGGCUGUUUAUUAGCUUUAUUCAAAUAAUGGAGCAUAGCUUUUAACGGCACACAAUAUCAGAUGGAGAAUUGAAUAGCUUUACUGAGUCAGUUAGUUCACGUAAACUGACACAACUAGACCCCCAUUUGAUAGGAUUUCGUCCCCCGGCGUCCCCCAUCUGAUAGAAUUUGUGCUUUUAAAUGUAUUAUUAAAGAAAAGGUAUAAAACCCAUGACCAACAGAAAAGAGCUGUAACGAUAAGUGGACAAAUCGGUUAGUCGGUCAAUAGAAAAAUAAACAACCAACUAUUUAGAUAGUCGAUUAAUCGUUAAAGUCAUUUUUCAUGCAAACAUGGCAGUUCCACUAUUUCCUUACAUUUUAUAGACUUAACGAGUACGAGUUACUCAUGGAUGGAUUCACAGUUAGAAUAAAUAAUGCCCCUUUAGCUGUGCACCCCCUGGAACCUCCCUCAAGGACUUUGGGAACCACCGAGUUAGAUAUCUGAUACUGGGACUUCUAUCUGUUAGCAGUGGCUGUAUAUCAUUGUUUUGAAAUGUGUCUUCAAGCCAAGCAGCGCUAAGGAGAAACAAUAAAACCCAAGAAGCAGUUAUCCCUGGGGGGAGCUUGGGAGGGACGGUUCGGUUGUAUCCCCACUUUUUUUUCCUGCUGCUUUGUGUUGUGUGUUCCUCUCCAGUUCCACUGAUGAGGAAGCAGACGGGGACGGGGGGGAGGGCACGCGCCGGCUGGACCUCCGGAGCGUCACCGCGACUCCAUCGCGCCCCGCUGUGCCGCCUCACACACUGUCAUUGCUCCUGCAGUGAUGGAUGCCCGGCGCCAUCACUGCUGUCCUGCGCCUUCAGAAGGAAGACGAUCACCGUCAACGCGUUUCCCACGCCGAGAGACGACUUCUGCUGCUGCUGUGCGUCCGCAAAAAUGGCUUAGAAGAGUUCAGAACGCCACCACUGCUUUGCAGUCAGUGUCCGCAAGAUCCGAUUUAGCAGGAAGGUAUUUCACGUGUUUUUUUUUCGAGUCCAAAAUAAUCUGCUGCAGCGUUCCUUCCCGUUUCUCUCGACUGCGCGUGUUUUCCCGGCCGGCUGUGAGCAACAGGCUGCCGAUAUAGCUGCAUCCACCCCCACUCUCACGUUUUGUCUAUUGGCUGAUGAGAAACACGGACACUGCAGCUGUCAAACACCUCCUCGUGCUUGUUUUCUUCAGCUGACCUGUCGAACACUUUGGCCACUUCUCCCUGUAUGAGACGGUCUUUUACCUGGGUUUGUAGAGGACUUGGGUGCACAUAUUUUGCGGAGGGUUUUGGGGUCCUCCCUCAAGAAAAUGUUACAAAAACCAUAUGCAGUUUCACAUCAUUUAAGACCAUUAUUGUAACCAUAUCUGGGUCUAAAACGUUGGAAAAGCUAGAGCAGAUAAUAAAAAAAACAACACUCAAAAAGCCUGCUAAAUAGAAAAGUAAUUUAGUUCGUGCUCACAUUGAUUUUACAUUCAUUCGGCUUAGGUGGUGCCCAAAACGGCUCGGUUCCUGCGUCAAAGCCUUAUUCUGGUCUGGAAAACCCUGGUAUCGGACAUGUGAAUUCACUCAAAAGUUGUGUUUUUUAACGUGUGUUAGUGUCUCACUGAAGCUAGCAUGCAUCUUGCCCAGAUCCAGAACUGGGACACUCUGAUAUUCAAAGCCUGUGAGAUCUGCUUACGUGUGUGAGAACGAGUAGUUUUUACACAUGGUGACAAUGUGUGAUUCACAUAGUAUGUUCUUGGUCUUGAAAACGUCUUCAUUUGGGUGUGUGAUACCAACUACCUUUAAUACGCACUCUUAUGUAUUUUUACUGUAGCGUGUGGGCGUGUGUGUGUGUGCGUGUGUAUGUGUGUGUCGGUGUAAGUGCACGUUUGUGUGCAUGUGCUCUAUUUGUGUGUGUGUGUGUGUGUUUGUUCCUGUGUGUGUGUGUGUGUGUGUGUGUGUCUGAUUAAACACAUUUGUAAUAGGCCUGAAGCUUCUAGCUGCUUUUCAAUGGUUUUGUCAUCGCUGCACAGUUUUUCAAAUGCCUGAAUCUCUUUCUUUUAGUGCACUGGAUGUACCGGGGAUAAAAAAAAAAAAAAAAAAAAAAAAAAUGAGCAAAAGAUUUUUAGCAUUUGUUACAACCUCAUUGAAGUCCCAGUUAGGUGGGGGCUCUUGCGAUUUAGAUGAGCACAAGAAUGUCGCUGGAAAUGAAUGGUGUGUGGCUUUCUAAAUGAUCCCUGCUGGCGCUAAUUAAACUGCCCCGAUGCCAACAGCCCCAUCAUCUGAUACUUCAGCAAAUUACAGCAAAUGCUAAUAAUUAUGUGCAAAUAGCUUCUUUUUUUUUUUUUUUUUUUUUUACCCAGGUCUGGAUUCUACUAACAGUAUCUGACUAAUAUCUAACAAUACUAAUGUCUGCUAACAGUGGGAUGAUUACUAACCUGUACUCUGAAUGCUCAUUGGCUGGCUUUUUUUCUAUCUAUCUAACCCCCCCCCCCCCUGACUAACAUUCUGCUUUAUUUGAUGCCCCCGCAGUCUGACACACACACUCCUCUCUCAUGAUCCUGCAAUCCUUCGGCUAGAAAUCACAAACUCAGAUGGAUUAACAGGGUUCAACGUUUUAUGUGUCCGGUCUGGCAAGUGAAAAUAAAUUCUACUCGCCAGAAGUCCAUUUUUUACUGGCACCUAGUUUUUGAAAAAAACGUUGCAGAAAACCUCCGCCAAAAACAUUGAAACAAAACAUCAAA